UGUGCCAGUGACACCCUUUGUUGAAAUGUUUGUAUCAUGUGGUUUUGAACUAUUACCUGGAGUGGAUGCAUUAUUGAUGUAAGUAACGCCUUAUUUCUAUAUUAUCUUUAUCAGUGUUAUGCUACAUUGUUUAUUUAGAUAUUUAAUAUCUCCCUUUUUGUCCCUUUUUGUUUGAUAGUACAAAUCAUCCACAUCCGAACUCAGUCCUUUUGUCUGCACUGAGCUGAUCCUUUCUGUUGAUGAUAAACCUUCGAAACCUGCCCUGGACCCGACGUGUUUGACUUCACACCACACAUUGUUCAGUGAACUAGCAUCAGGAGGAGACAGACUUUUUACAGUUGGGCUAUCAAGUAAUAGUAAGUGAAGCCAAAAUACCACUUCCAUUGGUGGAGCCAAGGCAUGCACAGAAGUGACCUGGCUGGUUAAGCCGUGUUACUGAUGCCACCUAUCAAUAAAACUCCUAAAAGCCAAAGGUGAGUACAGUCCACAACAGAACAGAUUCGUGUGUUGAUUUGAAGCAGAAAGUCACGACUGUGGAAUGUUCAAGGACUCUUGUGUUAGUGCUCAUUACGUUUUCUCUCAAUGCUCCUCCUGUACUCUCCUGAUCUGGUACAAUAUUCUACAGGAGCAUUUGUCAACAGAGCUGUCAAUCAAUCAUCAGAAAAAAAUGAAUAGAAGGUCGCAGCUGGAUGUCUUUUUUCUACAGACCUUCUUACGUUAUGCUGUGUUCAAAACUAUAGGUUCCCAAACUUUUCAGGCCCCCAAAACAUAUAGUUGCCAAAGACUCACGGCCCCCACAUUCCCUUGAAGUAAUUAAAUGUUACCAGCAGGAGGUGCUCUCAGACCUUUGCAGUGAGUUGAAGACACUAGUUUGCAGCAUUGCCUCUAAAUAUCUGCAGAUUAAAAAAAUCAACCCCUGCAAACAUGAUGUUUUUUGAGAUGACUAGAUUAAUCAACAGAGCAAGGUGCAGCUGUAUUCAUAAGGUGAAUGCAUUCAGCCUUUUAUCUAAUUUAAAGUACAAUGAUAUGCUCUUCUCUGCUGAAGGAGGAGCAACGACUUCAGUCUGAGGUUUUGCUGGGUCGACUUUGAAAGAUGAGAUGACGAGUCUCCGCUUUGCCUCAGAUCCAACACACCACCAGAUGCUGCUCAGAUGACACCCCGGACUCUCUAUCUUGUUCUGGAGCAUACAUACAGGGUCUGAUGAAACAAAUCCAAAUUCAACAUCAUCCUUUGGCUCCAGAAGUCUCUCACACGAUGUACAUUAUUGAUUCCACUUGUGCUCAUACAUGAUGUUUAGCUUAAGAGAUUCGUGGCUUUCGAAGAUGUCCAAUCACAACAAACACAGCUCAGAACUGGACCGUCAAUCCUCUUAGUCACUCUCCUCAAGGCCAACCGAGCGCUCGAAAACCUCUGUGAGGGUUUUACACUCUCCAGAUGGAAGAGUUUGAUUCCAAAGUCUGGUUGUGACCCCAAUUUCUCAAUCUCUCUUUACAAGAUCUGGUGCUUUCCUCUCUGACACUUGUUCCAGUCAACAUGUAGACCCCCUGUUUUCCAAUAAGCACUGUUCCCUCUC